CCUACGGGUGGCUGCAGUGAGGAAUAUUGGUCAAUGGACGAGAGUCUGAACCAGCCAAGUAGCGUGAAGGAUGACGGCCCUAUGGGUUGUAAACUUCUUUUAUAUGGGAAUAAAAUGUUCCACGUGUGGGGUUUUGUAUGUACCAUAUGAAUAAGGAUCGGCUAACUCCGUGCCAGCAGCCGCGGUAAUACGGAGGAUCCGAGCGUUAUCCGGAUUUAUUGGGUUUAAAGGGAGCGUAGGUGGAUUGUUAAGUCAGUUGUGAAAGUUUGCGGCUCAACCGUAAAAUUGCAGUUGAAACUGGCAGUCUUGAGUACAGUAGAGGUGGGCGGAAUGCGUGGUGUAGCGGUGAAAUGCUUAGAUAUCACGAAGAACUCCGAUUGCGAAGGCAGCUUACUGGACUUCAACUGACACUGAGGCUCGAAAGUGUGGGUAUCAAACAGGAUUAGAUACCCGAGUAGUC
rnacentral:rRNA from 1 species